rnacentral:rRNA from 1 species
GAUGAACGCUAGCGGCAGGCCUAAUACAUGCAAGUCGAACGGUAGAUUUGGUAGCAAUACUGAAUUGAGAGUGACGUAAGGGUGCGUAACACGUAUGCAAUCUGCCCUCAACAGGAGUAUAGCUCGGGGAAACUCGGAUUAACCCUCCAUAAGAUCUUAGGGUGGCAUCACCUAGAGAUUAAAAACUUCGGUGGUUGAGGAUGAGCAUGCGCAUGAUUAGUUAGUUGGAGGUGUAACGGACCCCCAAGACGAUGAUCAUUAGGGGAACUGAGAGGUUGAUCCCCCACACUGGCACUGAGAUACGGGCCAGACUCCUACGGGAGGCAGCAGUAGGGAAUAUUGGUCAAUGGGUGAGAGCCUGAACCAGCCAUGCCGCGUGCAGGAAGACGGCCUUCUGGGUUGUAAACUGCUUUUAUCUGGGGAUAAAAAGACCGUGCGCGGUUAAUUGAAGGUACCAGAUGAAUAAGCACCGGCUAACUACGUGCCAG